GACGAACGCUGGCGGCGUGCCUAAUACAUGCAAGUUGAGCGCUGAAGGUUGGUACUUGUCCCAACUGGAUGAGCAGCGAACGGGUGAGUAACGCGUGGGGAAUCUGGCUUUGAGCGGGGGACAACAUUUGGAAACGAAUGCUAAUACCGCAUAAAAACUUUAAACACAAGUUUUAAGUUUGAAAGAUGCAAUUGCAUCACUCAAAGAUGAUCCCGCGUUGUAUUAGCUAGUUGGUGAGGUAAAGGCUCACCAAGGCGAUGAUACAUAGCCGACCUGAGAGGGGGAUCGGCCACAUUGGGACUGAGACACGGCCCAAACUCCUACGGGAGGCAGCAGUAGGGACUCUUCGGCAAUGGACGAAAGUCUGACCGAGCAACGCCGCGUGAGUGAAGAAGGUUUUCGGAUCGUAAAACUCUGUUGGUAGAGAAGAACGUUGGUGAGAGUGGAAAGCUCAUCAAGUGACGGUAACUACCCAGAAAGGGACGGCUAACUACGUG
rnacentral:rRNA from 1 species